UCAGUUCAGAUCGUAGGCUGCAACUCGCCUACGUGAAGCAGGAAUCGCUAGUAAUCGCAGGUCAGCAUACUGCGGUGAAUACGUUCCCGGGGCCUUGUACACACCGCCCGUCACACCAUGGAAGUUGGCCAUGCCCGAAGUCGUUACUCCACCCUGUGGGGAGGAGGACGCCGAAGGUGGGGCUAAUGACUGGGGUGAAGUCGUAACAAGGUAGCCGUACCGGAAGGUGCGGCUGGAUCACCUCCUAACAGGGAGACAACAAAAUGUUUAAUAUUAUUAUUUUGUCACCUUAGGUCGAUCGGUAUCUCACGUUCUUAAUUUAUUAAGAAUUUCAUUUCCUAAGUUUUUCUAGGUCACACCCAUUAUUUUUCCUGGGCCAUUAGCUCAGGUGGUUAGAGCGCACCCCUGAUAAGGGUGAGGUCCCUGGUUCAAGUCCAGGAUGGCCCAUAUCUCUAUGUUGGGGGUAUAGCUCAGUUGGUAGAGCGCCUGCUUUGCAAGCAGGAUGUCAGCGGUUCGAGUCCGCUUACCUCCACUGAUUACCACCUCUUCCAUAAUCUGUAGAAAGGAAAAUUUUUUGAUUUGUGACCAUAAUUCUGAGCGAAUCUAGCUUCCUAAUGAAAUCAUUAAGAUGCUGGACUCAUUGAUUAAUUUCAUUGUUUUCAGAGAACCUUGACAACUGCAUAGAUUAUUUUAAAGACAAUAAGCAUUUUUAAUGAUGCAGAUUUAUUAUUUGUGCGAAUGCAUUAAUAACAAUUCUAUUAAGCUGAUGCUUCAAUUAUGAAGUUAUUGGUCAAGCUACAAAGGGCUCACGGAGGAUACCUAGGCACACAGAGGCGAUGAAGGACGUGGUUACCUGCGAUAAGUCUCGGGA
rnacentral:misc_RNA from 1 species